rnacentral:tRNA from 1 species
CAAAAAAUAGUUUAAUAAAAAUAAUAAUUUUGGAGAUUAUUGAUAAAGAGAGAUAUAUCUUUUUUUUUG